UCACAUUUUUUGUCACAUUUUUUGUCAUAUUUUUUGUCACAUUUUUUGUCACAUUUUUUGUCACAUUUUUUGUCAUAUUUUUUGUCAUAUUUUUUUGUCAUAUUUUUUGUCAUAUUUUAUUUUUAAAAAAUAAUGCAUUUAAUUGUUUUGGUAACACACAUUUUAUUAAUAUUAAUAUAACUUUUUUUAAAAACGUAAUGUUUUGAUAUCUAUGCAAAAUACAAUUUUUUUUAUAAAUGUUUUUAUUUUGCCAAUGAAACAUGUCUAAUUUUUUAAAUAGUAUUUAUAUUACCUUUUUUUACAACAAAGGUACGCAAUAGAACAAAUCCAUUAAUUUUUUUUUUUUUUUUGCAUCUACAUUUUCGUGUAGAUAAGUUUCUUAUUGUUCAGUUUUUUGUCGCAUAUUUAUUUUUUUUUUUUUUUUUUUUUUUUUUUGUCCUUAAUAUUUUUAAUAUUUUUCAUACUUCCUUAACUUUCUUAGCUUUCUUAACUUUUUUAACUUUCAUAUAUUCUUACUAAUUUAAUUGUAUUUUUUAUUUUCUUUUGUUAAUAAAGUAAUAAAGAAAUAAAUAAAGAAAUAAAUAAAGAAAUAGUAAAAAAGAAAAAAAAAGAAAAAAAAAGAAAAAAAAAGAAAAAAAAAAGUAGUUUAACCACUGUUGACCUCGAUUCCCUACACACGUGUAUACAUAUACAUACACACAUGUAUAUAUGCCUUUAUGUGAACCCAUUACCUCCAAUUUGUUGGAAGACAUCAUGGAUAAAACUGGAAAUAUUGAUGCUGAAAAAGUACAAUGCGGUGAAGGGGUAUUUAUUAAAAAACAUGUAAACACUAUUGAUCCAAAAAUAUGUUCUAUGCCUAAAUUUGAUAAUUUAAUUAAAAAAAAGAACAUAAAUAUAAAAAUAAAAAACACAAAAAAAGUAGCAGAACAAAAUAAAAAAGAGAAUAAUUUUCGUAUGAGGAGUGAAAACUUUAUUAAAAAUGUAGUGAACAAAAUAAAAGAUAAAUAUAAAAAAGAUAUACACAGUAAACAGCAAUAUAAACAUACAAUUCCUGUCAAAUCAAAAACAAAAUGUCUAUUAAAUGAAUAUUUAAGUGUAAAUCCUACAAAUAAUAUAUUAUAUAGACGCAAAACACCAAUCAACGUAAUUUAUAAAAAUGAUUCAUGUGAUUUACAACAACCUAAACUACUCACCAGAUGUAAAAGUAUGUACAACAUGCCUUAUAAUUGUAUUAAAAUUUAUGGUAAUAAUCAUAUAUAUACUAAUAAUAAUUAUGUUAGCCGACAAAACAAAAAAGUUGCUAAGCUAAAAAUUUCAAAAAUUAGUCCUUUAGAUAAAAUAAGAAGUUAUAGUAUAAAUAAUAAUAAUACUACUACAGAUUAUAAUAUGAAUACGAAUUCUUACAUUAAUUUAUAUGAAGCUAGCCAAAAUAAACCUUUUUUUCCUAAUAUAAAUACUGUUCAUAAUAUUACAUAUAAUAAACAAUUGUUUAAUAAUAUGAAUGAAUAUAAACUGCCAUAUUUUUUACCUAAUCCGAAUAUGCGUAAUACGUCAGCUUAUAAUAUUUAUGAUAUAACACAAAAAAGAAAAAACAAAUUUAAUAAUAUAUCAGCUUUGAAUAAGUACAAUACACUUACUGUUAAAAAAAAAACAGAUACUACAUCUGUUAUAGCAAAUGAUGAAACAAAAGAAGCAAAAAUUAAUGUAAAAAGUAAUGUAAAAAGUAAUGCAAAAAAUUAA
ensembl:lncRNA